rnacentral:rRNA from 1 species
UAGCUACAGGCUUAACACAUGCAAGUCGAGGGGAAACGAUAUUGGAAGCUUGCUUCCGAUAGGCGUCGACCGGCGCACGGGUGAGUAACGCGUAUCCAACCUGCCCACCACUUGGGGAUAACCUUGCGAAAGUAAGACUAAUACCCAAUGAUAUCUCUAGAAGACAUCUGAAAGAGAUUAAAGAUUUAUCGGUGAUGGAUGGGGAUGCGUCUGAUUAGCUUGUUGGCGGGGUAACGGCCCACCAAGGCAACGAUCAGUAGGGGUUCUGAGAGGAAGGUCCCCCACAUUGGAACUGAGACACGGUCCAAACUCCUACGGGAGGCAGCAGUGAGGAAUAUUGGUCAAUGGACGAGAGUCAGAACCAGCCAAGUAGCGUGCAGGAAGACGGCCCUAUGGGUUGUAAACUGCUUUUAUAAGGGAAUAAAGUGAGUCUCGUGAGACUUUUUGCAUGUACCUUAUGAAUAAGGACCGGCUAAUUCCGUGCCAGCAGCCGCGGUAAUACGGAAGGUCCGGGCGUUAUCCGGAUUUAUUGGGUUUAAAGGGAGCGUAGGCCGGAGAUUAAGCGUGUUGUGAAAUGUAGACGCUCAACGUCUGCACUGCAGCGCGAACUGGUUUCCUUGAGUACGCACAAAGUGGGCGGAAUUCGUGGUGUAGCGGUGAAAUGCUUAGAUAUCACGAAGAACUCCGAUUGCGAAGGCAGCUCACUGGAGCGCAACUGACGCUGAAGCUCGAAAGUGCGGGUAUCGAACAGGAUUAGAUACCCUGGUAGUCCGCACGGUAAACGAUGGAUGCCCGCUGUUGGUCUGAAUAGGUCAGCGGCCAAGCGAAAGCAUUAAGCAUCCCACCUGGGGAGUACGCCGGCAACGGUGAAACUCAAAGGAAUUGACGGGGGCCCGCACAAGCGGAGGAACAUGUGGUUUAAUUCGAUGAUACGCGAGGAACCUUACCCGGGCUUGAAUUGCAGAGGAAGGAUUUGGAGACAAUGACGCCCUUCGGGGCCUCUGUGAAGGUGCUGCAUGGUUGUCGUCAGCUCGUGCCGUGAGGUGUCGGCUUAAGUGCCAUAACGAGCGCAACCCCUCUCCUUAGUUGCCAUCAGGUCAAGCUGGGCACUCAGGGGACACUGCCACCGUAAGGUGUGAGGAAGGUGGGG